rnacentral:rRNA from 1 species
AUUGAACGCUGGCGGCAGGCCUAACACAUGCAAGUCGAGCGGAGCGGCGGACGGGUGAGUAAUGCCUAGGAAUCUGCCUGGUAGUGGGGGAAAACGUCCGGAAACGGGAGAUAAUACCACAUACUAGAAAGGGAGACUAGGGCGAAGUAGCUAGUUGGUGGGGUAAAGGCUUACCAAGGCGACGAUCCGUAACUGGUCUGAGCGGAUGAUCAGUCACACUGGAACUGAGACACGGUCCAGACUCCUACGGGAGGCAGCAGUGGGGAAUAUUGGACAAUGGGCGAAAGCCUGAUCCAGCCAUGCCGCGUGUGUGAAGAAGGUCUUCGGAUUGUAAAGCACUUUAAGUUGGGAGGCGUUACCAACAGAAUAAGCACCGGCUAACUUCGUGCCAGCAGCCGCGGUAAUUC